UGGAGGGUUGCGGACAGGAGGAGAGACAAUGUUAAAGAUGAAUGCGGAAGAAAAGAGCCAAAGAAUCCACCAGAGAGUGAAAUCUGCCUGCGUCUGCGUACAAUUCUGCUACUCUCGGGUUCCAGAAUGAGGAAAACCUGGUUGCCACAUGUUCAGUUUGCCUAUAAUACAUAGGCCCUAAAUGCCAAGUUUACUGUGUGUCUGGCAGUUGAUAGUGACAAAAGACCAACACAUGAUUCUUGGGCUGUCUAAUUAUCAGCUGACUAGGAAAGGAACAGAUCUCUUUUUUGAAAUUAUGGACAUCUGGCUGGCCUUUGUAUUUCCUGAAGAUGCUAUGAUGAUUGCCAUGGAGGAAAAAUCAUGAACUGUCUUUCCCACCUGUGAACCCUGUAACCUACAAAAACAACUGGCCUGGCAAA
rnacentral:lncRNA from 1 species